UCUCUCUCUCUCUCUCUCUCAUCUGCACUUCUCCUCUCACUGCUGCCAUCAAUCUGCUCCUGUCACUGCCGCGAUCAAUCUGCUCUACUUCUUUUUUUUUCUCUUUUCUGCUCUGCUCCAUGCCUCCAUCACAUGCCGUUAUGCUACCCAAUUUAUUACAAGGUCCAGAUUUUUUUUUUUGGUUAAAUACUUAAAUUUAUUAAAAAUUUAGUGUGAUGUAAUUUUAUUAUUAAAUGGGUAUUAUGUGAUAAUGUAAUUAAAUGGGUAUUGUGAUUGUGAUUAUGAUUAUGUGAUAUGUUUUUAUUAAAUGAG
rnacentral:misc_RNA from 1 species